rnacentral:tRNA from 1 species
GGAGAGGUACCGAAGCGGUCAUAACGGGGCGGUCUUGAAAACCGUUAGGGCGCAAGCCCACAUGGGUUCGAAUCCCAUCCUCUCCG